CCCUUAGAUGUUCUGGGCUGCACGCGCGCUACACUGAAGCGUUCAACGAGUAUUCACCUUGCCCGGGAGGGUUGGGUAAUCUUUUGAAAACGCUUCGUGAUGGGGAUAGAUUAUUGCAAUUAUUAAUCUUCAACGAGGAAUUCCUAGUAAGCGCGAGUCAUCAGCUCGUGCUGAUUACGUCCCUGCCCUUUGUACACACCACCCGUCGCUCCUACCGAUUGAGUGGUCCGGUGAGGCUUUGGGAUCUGAGCGGAAAGAGCGUUUCGCUGUUUCUGCUCGGAAAACUCAGUCGAACCUUAUCAUUUAGAGGAAGGAGAAGUCGUAACA
rnacentral:rRNA from 1 species